GCCCAUCCUCUCGAAUUAGCGCGGGGCACGAGGAAUUUGGCACGGUGCUAAUUGCCAUCAGAGGGAACAAGUGGCCUCAGCUUUGAUCUGGAGAGUUUGUGCUGACUCUUUCUGGUCUGAGUAGGAACCCUCUCCCUGCCCCACUCAUCUGCACCAGGUCCUGCAGCAUCUCCACGUGUGCACAGUGAGGUAGGAUAACCUUGCCAAAGAGGAAAGGAAUUUGGACAGACUUAACAUGCAGCCUGUACAGCUUCCAUGAGCUGGACACUAAAAUGAAGAGAGAGUUUAUUCAUUCCCAUCUCA
rnacentral:lncRNA from 1 species